AGCGAACGCUGGCGGCAGGCUUAACACAUGCGAGUCGAGCGCCCCGCAAGGGGAGCGGCAGACGGGAGAGUAACACGUGGGAACGUGCCUUUUGGUUCGGAACAACCCAGGGAAACUUGGGCUAAUACCGGAUAAGCCCUUACGGGGAAAGAUUUAUCGCCAAAAGAUCGGCCCGCGGCUGAUUAGCUAGUUGGUGGGGUAAUGGCCCACCAAGGCUACGAUCAGUAGCUGGUCUGAGAGGAUGAUCAGCCUCAUUGGGACUGAGACACGGCCCAAACUCCUACGGGAGGCAGCAGUGGGGAAUAUUGGACAAUGGGCGCAAGCCUGAUCCAGCAAUGCCGCGUGGGUGAUGAAGGCCUUAGGGUUGUAAAGCCCUUUCGGCGGGGAAGAUAAUGACGGUACCCGCAGAAGAAGCCCCGGCUAACUUCGUGCCAGCCGCCGCCGUAAUAC
rnacentral:rRNA from 1 species